ACAGAGGGAUCCGCCCCUUUCCUGGCUGCCUACACAGAAAGCAGCCAUGGGAGACUUGCCGAGGACUUUGUCCACCAAGUGAUGAAAGCAUGCAAAUGCCUCCGAAUCAAAGAAUUCAAUCCACGUUACUCCAUUGCCAUUUGUUACCACGUCCUUCAGUCUCCUCAAUCUCUCAGUCCCCUUAUUUUUCGUGACCUUGACAACUUUGAGGAGGACUCAUCAGCCCUCAGAGAUUCCUUCUCCUCGCUGCUCCUCCUCUCCCAGUUCCUGCCCAGGCUGACUCUAUCAUACAAGCUGUAACUUCUGCCAGUCCUAUCAGCCAGCAAACAACAAAGCUGCAGCACUGCCAAGGACAUGGAUCUCUCAAGCUCCUGUCUGGCACAUUGCAGGAAGUAAGGGGCAUGUCUAACCACCACGCUCAGCCAAGCCAAAGAACAAAGGCAGCGGCACUCUCUCUGGACCUUGGGGAAUAACACAGCCCUCCCAGGCAGAAGAUGCAAGCAUUCCUGUUGCAG
rnacentral:lncRNA from 1 species